AUGAACGCUGGCGGCGUGCCUAACACAUGCAAGUCGAACGGAGUCGUUUUGGAAAUCUCUUCGGAGAUGGAAUUCUCGACUUAGUGGCGGACGGGUGAGUAACGCGUGAGCAAUCUGCCUUUAAGAGGGGGAUAACAGUCGGAAACGGCUGCUAAUACCGCAUAAAGCAUUAACUUCGCAUGUUUUUGAUGCCAAAGGAGCAAUCCGCUUUUAGAUGAGCUCGCGUCUGAUUAGCUAGUUGGCGGGGUAACGGCCCACCAAGGCGACGAUCAGUAGCCGGACUGAGAGGUUGAACGGCCACAUUGGGACUGAGACACGGCCCAGACUCCUACGGGAGGCAGCAGUGGGGAAUAUUGCGCAAUGGGGGAAACCCUGACGCAGCAACGCCGCGUGAUUGAAGAAGGCCUUCGGGUUGUAAAGAUCUUUAAUCUGGGACGAAACAAAUGACGGUACCUGAAGAAUAAGCUCCGGCUAACUACGUG
rnacentral:rRNA from 1 species